GAAGACAAUUGUGUUAUUUAUAGUUAUUACAUUUUAAUGUUGAUUAUUGUUCAUAACAAUCGUGCUAUCUUACGAUUACUCGUGUACAAUUUGCUCUAGAAUCCAACAAUCUUCUCAUUUCAUCUUGGGAUUCUAGUAUUAGGUUGGUGGAUGUGGAAAGCAGUAAGCUUAGAUUAGAAGUUCAAACAGAAGCUGCAGUACUUGAUUGCUGUUUUCAGAAUGCGUUUGUUUCUUUCUCUGCUGCUUCUGAUGGAUCCAUUUUCAGUCGAAAUUUACCUAAAAAGGUAAGAAAGAAUGAAAAUCGAAGGAAGACAAUGAGAAAGGGAGAGAAUGUAGGAGAGAUAAGGAGGAACUUAAGGUGGAAUUGUACUCUUAGUAUCCCUAUGGUUUACAGCCAGUUGUACCCUUUUGAAGUUCUGUUGAAUUAUACUUCAGGAAUCAUUCAUCAUGUUAGACUUGAAGGUAUGAAACUAUGAAUUCAACUAUUUAUUUUAAUUUGCUUGAGUUGUUUGUAAUUUUGAUUAGUUUUUAUCAAUUUGUUUAUGUGGUUGUCCUUUUGAUGAAUCUUUGAAUUUGUUUUUUAAAUGAAUUUGGUGCAUAAAAUCUACUUUUUUUUUUGUGUAGUAGUAAUUAAUGAUUAUCUGUCUUGGUUUGUCUUGGUUUAUCCAGCUGAUAGAUUUUGAAAGUUAAAGUUUCUGAUUUUUAUGGGUUACCGGUAAAAUAGACCUACACUUUUGAGGGCUGGUUUUACUCUAGAAAUAUGAUGUAUUGUUCAAUGAGGUUAUGAAGUUCCAUCUUCUCUGAUUUCCUGGUCUUUAGCUGAAUAUUAAUGUCAGUAACAACUAAAGCUUGUGAAAUAUCAAAAUGUAUCUGUUGAAUAACAUAAUUAGUCAAGUUCAUGUGUUUGCAAUAGAAUAUUAUUCCAUGUCCUUGCAAUUCGCAGGAUAUAAUUCCCCUUUUGUCUUGCACCAAUUCACCCAAUCAUAUUUACAUAUUUAAUAGCAGUUUCUUUUUUAUAUCGUUGGACUCUGUUAUCAUACGUGUUCUCAUAUUUUAUUUUUGUAAUUAUAUGCUUAAGGCAAUAAGGCCUCUGAGCCGUCAAAAGGAAGCCUUUACUUCUCUUAAUGCUUAAUUAAUUCUACAUUACAGUAGUCUUCAUGUAUGUGUAGUCUUCAUGUAUGUGUUUAAUGGCCUGCAGUGGCUCCAUCAAUCAUUUCGAACUAAGUAGUAAUUAUUGUGCAUUUGUUGAUCCAACUAUCUAAUCUUUUGAAUUUUGCCACCAAUUUAGGUAUAUAUUCUUUUUUCUGGCAGCUUAUAGAAUGGAUAUGCUCCUAAAAGCUUUAUUCAUCUUGACAUUUGGCAGUAAUAUUAAUCAAUUCUACUAAUCACUCAGCUAAGUCUUCUCUCUCCAUUUUUAGUUUUUAUUGAAUUAUUUCAAUUUUAUCUUAUUUAGGUUAGUUGUAUUGGAAAAUAUAUUUGGAUGCCAGCAACUGUGAUCUGUUGUUGGCCGGGGGUAUUAUAUAUGCUUGGUUGCGUUUGGUGAUGUGAAGUUCACUGUUGGUGUUGGGAGUGUGAUUAUGAUAUGAUAUUGAUUAUGAUUAUGAGAUUGUUAUGUUGAUUAUAUAUGUCUAUGAUAUUGAUUGAGAUUAUGAUUAUGAGAUAG